rnacentral:rRNA from 1 species
GACGGAGGAUGCAAGCGUUAUCCGGAAUGAUUGGGCGUAAAGCGUCUGUAGGUGGUUUAUUAAGUCUCCUGUUAAAUAUCAAGGCUUAACCUUGAACAGGCAGUAGAAACUAAUGAGCUUGAGUACGGUAGGGGGCAAAGGGAAUUCCCGGUGUAGCGGUGAAAUGCGUAGAGAUCGGGAAGAACACCAAGGGCGAAAGCACUUUGCUGGGCCGAAACUGACACUGAGAGACGAAAGCUAGGGUAGCGAAAUGGG